UCAAACCCUCUUAUUUCUA
rnacentral:tRNA from 1 species